rnacentral:snRNA from 1 species
GUGCUCGCUUCGGCAGCACGUAUACUAAAAUUGGAACGAUACAGAGAUUAGCAUGGCCCCUGUACAACGAUAACAUGCAGGGCCUGGGGAUUUAGCUCAGCGGC